GAUGAAGAACGUAGCGAAAUGCGAUACUUGGUGUGAAUUGCAGAAUCCCGUGAACCAUCGAGUCUUUGAACGCAAGUUGCGCCUCAAGCCAUUAGGUUGAGGGCACGUCUGCCUGGGCGUCACAUAUCGUUGCCUGAUGCCAGUUUCCUCGUGAUGGGUGACUGUGCAGGGCGAAUGAUGGCUUCCCGUGAGCAUUGUUGCCUCAUGGUUGGUUGAAAAUUGAGUCCUUGGUAGGGAGCGCCGUGAUAGAUGGUGGUUGAGUGACGAACGAGACCCAAUCAUGUGAGACCCCUACCGAAUUUGGCCUACAUGACCCACAUGCGUCUUUGGAACGCUCAUGACGAGACCUCAGGUCAGGCGGGGCUACCCGCUGAGUUUAAGCAUAUCAAUAAGCGGAGGA
rnacentral:misc_RNA from 1 species